rnacentral:rRNA from 1 species
ACCUACGGGGGGCAGCAGUGAGGAAUAUUGGUCAAUGGACGAGAGUCUGAACCAGCCAAGUAGCGUGAAGGAUGACUGCCCUAUGGGUUGUAAACUUCUUUUAUAAAGGAAUAAAACGAGGCACGUGUGCCUUUUUGCAUGUACUUUAUGAAUAAGGAUCGGCUAACUCCGUGCCAGCAGCCGCGGUAAUACGGAGGAUCCGAGCGUUAUCCGGAUUUAUUGGGUUUAAAGGGAGCGUAGAUGGGUUGUUAAGUCAGCGGUAAAAUUGCGGGGCUCAACCCCGUCGAGCCGUUGAAACUGGCAGA